AUUGAACGCUGGCGGCAGGCCUAACACAUGCAAGUCGAGCGGUAACACAGAGGAGCUUGCUCCUUGGGUGACGAGCGGCGGACGGGUGAGUAAUGCCUGGGGAUCUGCCCGAUAGAGGGGGAUAACUACGGGAAACUGUAGCUAAUACCGCAUAAUGUCUACGGACCAAAGUGGGGGCUCUUCGGACCUCAUGCUAUCGGAUGAACCCAGGUGGGAUUAGCUAGUUGGUGAGGUAAUGGCUCACCAAGGCGACGAUCUCUAACUGGUUUGAGAGAAUGACCAGUCACACUGGAACUGAGACACGGUCCAGACUCCUACGGGAGGCAGCAGUGGGGAAUAUUGCACAAUGGGCGCAAGCCUGAUGCAGCCAUGCCGCGUGUGUGAAGAAGGCCUUCGGGUUGUAAAGCACUUUCAGCGGGGAGGAAGGGCUACUAGUUAAUACCUAGUGGCAUUGACGUUACUCGCAGAAGAAGCACCGGCUAACUCCGUGCCAGCAGCCGCGGUAAGAC
rnacentral:rRNA from 1 species